rnacentral:lncRNA from 1 species
GGUGGAAAUAUUCCAAAAUUUAAUAUUUUGGGAUUUAUACACAAAAGAUGAACAAAUUAGAGGCCAAGAGGCUGCCGGAAGAGAAAAACGGGGCCUGGGAAGGCCGUUGUGAGGAAUGAGCUGGGCCUAAAGAGGCCACUGGCAGGCGGGAGCUGGACCUGCCGAAGUGGCCGAAAGGCAGGAGCUUUGGACUCGGGAGGCCGCAGUGAGGCGAGAGCAAGCUGGGCGUGGAGAGUCCGUUGUGAGGCCGAGGCCGAGGCCGGGCCCGUGCAGGCCUUCGAGAGGCAGGAGGUCGGGCCUGCGAAGGCCCACUGGAGGUCAAGUUCUGGGCCUGAAGAGGCCGCCAAAAGUCAAAAGCGGGGCCUGGGAAGGCCGCCGAGAGCCACGAGCUGGGCUGGGCUGAAAGAGGCCACUGGGAGGCAGGAGGAGCUGGGCCUGGAGAAGCUGACUCGAGGAAGUUUUGCACCUGGAGAGGCCGCCCAGAGGACGGAGCUGGGCCCGGGGAGGCCGACUUGCUGCUCUUCCAGGCCCAAUUGCAGGCCAACUUGAGGACGACUUGGGCCUGCAGAGGCCGCCGGGAGGCCCAAGCUGGGCCUAGAGGAGCCCACCGACUGGAGGCAGUUUGGGGCCUGCAGAUGCCAUCGGAGGACAGGAGCUGAGCCUGGAGAGGCCACCGUGAGGCCUGAGUUGGGCCUGGCGAGCUUGGCUUCUGGAAGAUGUGUGCCUACCAGGGCCGCUGGGAGCUGGGCAGGAGCUGAGUCCAAAGACGUUGUUGGGAGACCAGAGUCGGGCCUGGAGACGCAGCCGGGAGGAAGAGCUGGGCCGGGAGAGGACGCCGGGAGGCUGCAAGUGGGUCUGGAGAGGCCGACUUGAGGAGAUUCGGGGCCCGGAGAGGCCGCCGGAAGGGAAAAACUGGGCCUGGAAAGGUUGUUGUGAGGAAUGAGCCCCAUGGGCCUGAAGAGGCCACUGGAAGGCGGGAGCUGGGCCUGCCGAAGCGGCCGAGAGGCAGGAGCUUUGCACUGUGGAGGCCACAGUGAGGUGAGAGCUAGCUGGGUAUGGAGAGUCCGCUGUGAGGCCGAGGCCAAGGCCGAGGCCGGGCCCGUGCAGGCCUUCGAGAGGCAGGAGGCCGGGCCUGCAAAGGCCCACUGCAGGUCAAGUUCUGGGCCUGAAGAGGCCGCCAAAAGUCAAAAGCGGGGCCUGGGAAGGCCGCCGAGAGCCAUGAGCUGGGCUGGGCUGAAAGGGGCCACUGGGAAGCAGGAGGAGCUGGACCUGGAGAGGCUGACUCGAGGAAGUUUUGCACCUGGAGAGGCCGCCGAGAGGACGGAGAUGGGCCCGGGGAGGCCGACUUGCUGCUCUUCCAGUGCCAAUUCCAAGCCGACUUGAGGAUGACUUGGGCCUGCAGAGGCCGCCGGGAGGCACAGGCUGGGCCUAGAGGAGCCCACUGACCGGAGGCCGUUUGGGGCCUGCAGAUGCCAUCAGAGGACAGGAGCUGAGCCUGGAGAGGCCACCGUGAGGCCGGAGCUGAGCCUGGGGAGCUUGGCUUCGGGAAGUUGUGUGCCUACCAGGGCCGCUGGGAGCUGGGCAGGAGCUAGGUCCAAAGACAUUGUUGGGAGGCCAGAGUCAGGCCUGGAGACGCAGCCGGGAGGAAGAGCUGGGCCCGGAGAGCACGCUGGGAGGCUGCAAGUGGGUCUGGAGAGGCCGACUUGAGGACGCCCGGCCUCUGUCUCCUGCAUGGCGGCCUCUGCAUGCCCAGCUGUUCCUCCUGGCUGCAUCUCCCGGCCCAGCUCCUGCCUCCCAGCAAACAAGCUCUUUUGGCUCAGCUCCCGCCGGCGUUUGUAGACCCCGAAGUUUCUGCAACCAAGCGCUCAGGCCCACAUCCCGCCUCCAGUAGCCUGAAGAGUCCCAGCUGCGGCUGGAGAAGAGCCUGAAGCCCCCGCUGUUGCCUCCCAGGGGUGCUCCAGGCCCAGCUGUCGCCCCACCAUGACAUCACAGGCCCAAUUCCCUGCCUGCCUCCCAGCAGCCCGCGUGCGACCCUGCUCCUCCUUCACGGUGGCCUGUUGAGGCAGGGGCUCACGCUGACCUCUCUCAGCGUGGGAGGGGCUGGUGUGAGGCAAGGGGCUCAGGCAGACCUCUCCCAGUGUGGGAGGGGCCGGAGUGAGUCAGGGGC